CCCUUAGAUGUCCGGGGCCGCACGCGCGCUACACUGAAGGAAUCAGCGUGGCUUUCUCCCUGACCCGAAAGGGUUGGGAAACCCGUUGAAUCUCCUUCGUGAUAGGGAUUGGGGCUUGAAAUUGUUCCCCAUGAACGAGGAAUUCCCAGUAAGCGCGAGUCAUAAGCUCGCGUUGAUUACGUCCCUGCCCUUUGUACACACCGCCCGUCGCUACUACCGAUUGAACGGUUUAGUGAGGGCCUCGGAUUGGUCUCGGCACGCUCUUUACCGGGCGGCGCCGUUGGUCGAGAAGACGCUCGAACUUGAUCGUUUAGAGGAAGUAAAAGUCGUAACA
rnacentral:rRNA from 1 species